rnacentral:lncRNA from 1 species
CCCGCACUGAGCAGCAAAAUGACUCUUUUUACUGCCCUGCUCUUUUUAAUUGGCUUUCAUUUGUGAUUGCAGGCACAAAUGGCCUGUUCGUGGACAAGGUGUUAGCAGAGCUAUCCCUGGGAUGGAUCAGUGCUGGAUUUUGUUUCACUUUUCACUGUAGUAGAUAUUUCUUCUUUAAAAAAAGGGCUUGAGUCUUCUUUCAUGCGAGGCACAAGGCAGGAUUUGAAAACAGCCUUUAAAGGUCGCGGGAGUGUGCCCAGGAAGGGAAGACGGGCAGAGCAGCCCCCUGACCCCCCCCCAGCUCGGCCCCCAGCGCUCGGCACGCCUGGCCAGACGGCAGACAAUGCGCGCUGCCUGCCACCAGCCCGGCACCAGGCGGCCGGCAGCCGCCGCUGCCCGUCAGCGCCCCGAGAUGUUUGAAGAGCCGUAAAAGGCAGCGCAGGCUGCCGGGGGCUCCGCGCGGGUGUCGCCCCCAGGUGCGGACCCCGGAGGGUGGGAUGGGGAGGCUCCGCGGGGCCGGGCCCGUCCCUCCCCCCGCCCGCAGCGCUCGCCUCGCAGGGAUCGGCGCUGGCCCCGGGGAGGGGCGCAGUCCUGCCGCCCCCCGGCCACCCCCGCUCCUCUGCUGGCAGGACACGGGAGCACUCUGACACAGGAGUACUUGGAAUAGCUGAGCCACCUGCAGUGGGGUGAUUUUCUUUUUAUUUCAAGGUUUUGGGGUUUUGGGGUUUUUUUUUGUUUUGGUUUGGUUUUUGUUUUUGUUUUGUUUUUAACGGGAGGCGGAGGGGACGGAGGGGGGUUAGCAAGACGCUGCCUUCCUUCUCUGUUACUAAAACAAAAGCCAAAUAAAGUGGAAAGGCGGUAAACCUUUCUUUUGUUUGUUUGCUUGUUUGUUUUUAAAACAGACAUAAAAAAAAAAAAAAAUUAAAAAAAAAAAACCCAAGAAACAAAUCCCGGUCAGUAAAACAGGCAGGAAGGCUGAAAUUUUAAACUAAUAACCUCCUUCCCCCGA